UACAGAGGGUGCGAGCGUUAAUCGGAAUUACUGGGCGUAAAGCGCACGUAGGUGGCGACGUAAGUCGGGUGUGGAAGCCCCGGGCUCAACCUGGGAAUUGCAUUCGAGACUGCAUUGCUGGAGUACGGAAGAGGAAGGCGGAAUUCCCGGUGUAGCGGUGAAAUGCGUAGAUAUCGGGAGGAACAUCAGUGGCGAAGGCGGCCUUCUGGUCCAGUACUGACACUCAGGUGCGACAGCGUGGGGAGCAAACAGG
rnacentral:rRNA from 1 species